AUGCUGCCAGACCUGCUGAGUUUCUCAAGCAAUUUCUUUUUCUGUUCUCCAAAUUAAACUUCUGCCAUUCCGUGUGGUCAUAGAAAAGCUUUCAACAAAGAUGUUUCCCUGGCUUGCAAGCUAAAAUUUCCUACCCAACCAACACUAAGAAAAAAGACUUCAACUGUUCGCUGGUAACUUUUUCUCUCCACAAUAGGAGAGCAAAAAUAGAAGAGAUGCAGAAGAAGGGAAAAGCAGAAGAAGCAGGAUGCCGAGUGGGCGCUGUUUUUCUUUCUUCCAUCUGACAAGACUGCACACUGCCUGUUAACUGACAAUCUAGUGUCCAAUAGCUGCUGACUCCAGGAGAUAAAACAGAAAUUAUUCAUCAACAUCUUUAAAUCACCCUCUCACAAAAUUCAUAAGGACCAGUCUGAAAUCAUCCAAGCCAGUCCUUAUUGGAAGCGAGUUCCGCCAUGAAGGCUUGGUGUUUCUGCCACUUAGUGUGAAGAUUUCGAGCCUCAUCGUAUGACAUAUCUUGGGCUGUCAACAUCUUUUCAUUGAUCCAGAGUGCAAGCUGGGCAAAACAAUAAAAAAAAUAAUAAUAGUAACAAGU